rnacentral:rRNA from 1 species
AACCCUGACGCAGCGACGCCGCGUGGGUGAUGAAGGCCUUCGGGUUGUAAAGCCCUGUCUGGUGGGAAGAAAUGUAUGGUGGCUAAUAUCCAUGGUAUUUGCCGGUACCCCCAAAGGAAGCACCGGCUAACUCCGUGCCAGCAGCCGCGGUAAUA